rnacentral:tRNA from 1 species
AGGUCUAUAGUUGAGAACAAUAUAAAAUUGCAAGUUUUAAGGUCAAGAUCUU